CCAUGUAAAAGGAAUCUGUGGCUCCCGAUACUUCAGCAAAAUCUCGAAUUGAAACACGCCAAACAUGAGUGUAAACAGAAUGAACAACAUCCUUAUCAAUAAAGUUAUUUUCUCCGCAUGACUUAAAUACAAGCGGAUUGAUUACUUUAUCCAAGAGAAAUGCUUUAAAAAAAGGUCGAACUGACUUGUCACCAACUAUACUGCAGCAAACUAAAAAUAUACUUUUCUUUUCAGCUGCACUUGUUGAGGUUAUAAGACAACCACAUAACGAAUCUAUGUAUUCUGGAAGGAAAUCGUUAUCAUCGUCAGCUUUAAAUCUAAAAACUUCUAAUGAAAACUCGAGCUUCUUCUCUAUUUUCUUUAAACUAGAUAAAAGCAUUUUUGUAAUGGACGAUAUACACCUGCGAAUAGGAAGAAAUAGAUAUUCGUUGUAUGAACUAAGCAUUCCAUACAAGGACUUUGAUAAAACAAUAAAUUUAGCCGAUAUAAC